rnacentral:misc_RNA from 1 species
GUAGGUGAACCUGCGGAAGGAUCAUUAAAGAGACGUUGCCCUUCGGGGUAUACCUCCCACCCUUUGUUUAUACAUACCAUUGUUGCUUUGGCAGGCCCGGCUUCGGCCCACCGGCUCCGGCUGGUCCGCGUCUGCCAGAGGAAACCCAAACUCUGUUUGUUCAUAUUGUCUGAGUACUAUAUAAUAGUUAAAACUUUCAACAACGGAUCUCUUGGUUCUG